rnacentral:rRNA from 1 species
CAGUCGCCGCGGUAAUACGGAGGGUGCAAGCGUUAAUCGGAAUUACUGGGCGUAAAGCGCACGCAGGCGGUUUGUUAAGUCAGAUGUGAAAUCCCCGAGCUUAACUUGGGAACUGCAUUUGAAACCGGCAAGCUAGAGUCUUGUAGAGGGGGGUAGAAUUCCAGGUGUAGCGGUGAAAUGCGUAGAGAUCUGGAGGAAUACCGGUGGCGAAGGCGGCCCCCUGGACAAAGACUGACGCUCAGGUGCGAAAGCGUGGGGAGCAAACAGGAUUAGAUACCCCUGUAGUCCCUGUCUCUUAUAC